GAUGGGAGAUUCAGAGACAGACUGAAGCUGAACAAUCAAACUGGAUCUCUGACCAUCAUAAACACCACAACUCAACAUGCUGGACUUUAUCAACUAGAGAUCAAUCAUGUCAGGAUGUUUUUCCUUCUCAACAUCUUUGGUAAAGUGAAGUCAGAGUCAGUAUUUGAGGGAGAUUCAGUCACUCUGAACUCUGAUCUUACUGGAAUAAUGGAUGAUGAUGUGAUUCAAUGGAGGUUUGGAACUGAAAAUGUUUUAAUAGCUGAAAUCAACGUAGAGGCUGACAGCAUGACUGUAUAUGAUGAUGUUCUUGAUGGGAGAUUCAGAGAAGACUGAAGCUGGACAAACAAACUGGAUCUCUGACCAUCACAGACAUCACAACUCAACAUGCUGGAGUUUAUCAACGACAGACCAACCGUGUGAUAAAGAGUUUCAUUCUCACUGUCUACAACUCUGUCCACUGUUGUGAUUCUGUUGAAGCUGUGAUCCGAUUGGUCGUCACUGCUCUGGUGGGCGUGGCUGCUGCGGCUGCUGUCAUUGUUCUGGUUUAUGACAUCAGAGCCAGAAGAGCUGAAAUGGAUUUGUAAUUACACUUUUUUGACGUCUUUUUAUAUUCCUCUUCCUUAAAGACCGAAGCUUCAUCAGUGCUGAAUGGAGUCAGUUUGAAACGAGAACAAGAGACUGAAGGUUGUUAGUUUGAAUCUCAACAGUAAUGUUGAUGUCUCACAUAUCCACUCUAGAUGUUCUGUUCUAUUCUAUAAUAAACAUUUGAUAUCAUUACAGCAGUA